rnacentral:lncRNA from 1 species
ACAUCAUCUACCACCACUGUGGACCAGAGCUCAGCGGCUCGCUCAGAGCAUGGGCAUAGUGUGCCAGCUGCCCUGCCCUCCAGGGAGCGUCCACAGGCCAGGAAGCAGAGGUGGACAGUGCAAUGAGAGAGCAGGAAGGACGAGAAAGCCUGGUCAGGCUGUGUGAGCCCCUGGGGGUGAGCGUGCCCUGGGCCUCUCAGGCCCACGAGCUUUGCACAUGUGCGCAUGGGUGCGUUUGAGCUGUGUUUCUGACACACGCAAGUGGAAGUCUGGAACCUGGAAGGGGGCUGAGGAGAGGUGGCAGGGGGGCGGGGCAGGCAGCGGGGACCCCACCCAAGCUGGGUAGGGGCUGCAGUGGGGAAGCAGCCGGGGGACAAUGACAAAGCCCUCCUGCUGGAGGCCCCCCUGCUGAAGAGCAGGUGCGGGAGUCAGAUGCCUCCGCCCUCUGGCAGGACAGAGAAGCAGGGGCACAUCCCCCAUACACCUGAGCGUGCGGCCACAACUCCUACAUGCUCCACAAACCUGCUUUCCCAGCGCCCUCUCCACCUGGGGGAUGUCACCCCUUCCAGGGGCUCUGGUCCUAGAGCUCUGAAUCUUUCCAGUACUUUCCAAUGAAUCACAACUUUCACUGAGAGCUGAGCCACUGAGAGGCCAGCCCGGUGGAUAAGGGAGGGAUAGAGCUGACGUGCCAUGGGGCAGAACCAGGCCUAGCUUUCCUAGCGGGGGUGGAUCUUCUUUUCUGGGGUUCAAAAACUGCUUCUGAUGCAAAACACGUGCUUCCCAAGCUUCCGAGAAAGUGACCUUCAUUUCAAUCAGAAUUUUUUUUUGUUGAGAUGGAGUUUUCUCUGCCGCCCAGGCUGGAGUGCAGUGGCGCCAUCUUGGCUCACUGCAACCUCCGCCUCCCGGGUUCAAGUGAUUCUUCUGCCUCAGCCUCUCGAGUAGCUGGGAUUACAGGCGCCCGCCACCUCGCCCAGCUAAUUUUUGUAUUUUUAGUAGAGACAGGGUUUCACCAUGUUGGCCAGGCAGGUCUCAAACUCCUGGCCUCAACUGAUUCAUCUGCCUCAGUCUCCCAAAGUUUUGGGCUCACAGGCGUGAGCCACCACGCCCAGCCUCAAUCAGGAGAAUGUUGACACAAUCAUGAAUUUGGGGUCCCGGUCGAAGUCAGUGCAAUGGGGACGGCAGCAGCUGGCUGAGCAUUCAGGUGCAGACGGCACCUCACUCGUCAACGCCUGCUUCCCGUUUCUACCUCAGCAAGCUCCCCCCAGCCCUGGGCCUCUGCAGGGCGCCUCAGCCAGGGGCUGGCCCCUUCUUCCAUGUGGGAGACUGUGCUGGGACCUGAGGCCCUCGGGGCCUCCUCCUGCUGCUCCACAGUGCCUCUGCAGCCCCUCAGUCACCCCUCGAAGUGCUUGUCACCGUCACAGCAAGUUGCUUUGAUACCAUCUGUCAGGUGGGGUCAUGUUCUGAAGCAUUUUUGCCCCUGCAAUUAUUUUUUCUUCUUUAAAUAAAUUAUGCAGCUGAAGCAGCUGCCCACC